CCAGGAUGGAGAACAGGGGUCAGGAUGGAGAACAGGGGUCAGGAUGGAGAACAGGGGUCAGGAUGGAGAACAGGGGUCAGGAUGGAGAACAGGGGUCAGGAUGGAGAACAGGUGUCAGGAUGGAGAACAGGGGUCAGGAUGGAGAACAGGGUGUCAGGAUGGAGAACAGGGGUCAGGAUGGAGAACAGGGGUCAGGAUGGAGAACAGGGGUCAGGAUGGAGAACAGGGGUCAGGAUGGAGAACAGGGUCAGGGAUGGAGGGAGGACAGGGGUCAGGAUGGAGAACAGGGGUCAGGAUGGAGAACAGGGGUCAGGAUGGAGAACAGGUGUCAUGGUGGAGAACAGGGGUCAGGAUGGAGAACAGGGGUCAGGAUGGAGAACAGGGGUCAGGAUGGAGAACAGGUGUCAGGAUGGAGAACAGGUGUCAGGAUGGAGAACAGGUGUCAGGAUGGAGAACAGGUGUCAGGAUGGAGAACAGGGGUCAGGAUGGAGAACAGGUGUCAGGAUGGAGAACAGGGGUCAGGAUGGAGAACAGGUGUCAGGAUGGAGAACAGGGGUCAGGAUGGAGAACAGGGGUCAGGAUGGAGAACAGGUGUCAGGAUGGAGAACAGGGGUCAGGAUGGAGAACAGGGGUCAGGAUGGAGAACAGGGGUCAGGAUGGAGAACAGG
ensembl:lncRNA